CCUCCCUCCGCCCUCCCUCCCUGGCGCUCUCUCGCGCUCGCUCGCUCGCUCCAGUAUGUAAAUGUGUAAUAGAAGCCAAAUAUGGAGCAGUUGGCUGCCGCCGCCGCAGCUCAAGGAUCCGACAGGAGGGGGGGCACCCUCCCGCGGGCGGUGGGGCAAGCGGCUCCGAGCCCGGCGAGCGCUGGGUGAGCUGGCGGCCCGCGCCCUUAACCCUUCGGUGCGCGCGGCCGGGGCACGGCUGCCCUCAGGAAGGUGGGCGCGUUUCCCCUAGACCGACUUGGAGUCCAGGGACUAGGAGUAGGAGGAGAGACCCUGGCCAGAGGGGACAGUUCUUCCAGGUUUGGGAAAGGGGCGGGGAGCUGAGGCGAUGAGGUAAUUGUAGCGGUGACCGAUAGGUCCUCGUGCGCCUCCCGGGGUCCCCGCACCUCCUUGGAGGGGACAGAACGACAGCGGGGUGCAAGUCAGGCACCUUGAAGGACUCUGGCUCCGAGCCAGUGAAGUAGCCCAUGGGGAAGGGAGGGGAAGCGGGCCACUGCUGAUUCUCUAGGUGCAGAGUGCUAGAGGGCUGACUGCGAUCGUCCUGCAUGUUCACCCUCACUCGGUUUGGCUUCAGCGUUCCAAGACCCAGACCACCGGGCGGCGGGGAGUGCCUUUGCUUGCAACUCUAGGAAGUUUUAAGGGUACCCCCUCAACCUACUGCACGUGCACCCUUACCUUUAAUGCCUGGAAAAAUCGGUGACCUCCCUGCCCUCCUUUUUCUUCCUGCAGGUCCCGAAAUCGGCUGUGGGUGUGGAACUACCCAGCUGUAACCCUGGUAGACUACCCGCGUACUCCUCUCGCAGCUAAUUCGGGAUCAUUAAUUUAAUCGGAAAUGAGAUAAUUCUGGAAGACCAGUAGGUGCCUGGGCAGCAUUUGACCUCCUUCAGGUGCUUAGAACCAAGUGUCUGGAAACAUAAUCCUUCCAAGUAAGUUUGUCUCUGGAAGCCACCACUAUUGACUGUAAGCUGUAUUUGAGAAACCUUUUGGCUGAGUUUACUUAUGACCUAACGGUUAGUCACCAACCGAAGCAGGAUACGGAAUCACCAAGAGGAAUGUGUCAGCUUUUAAACAACCGUAUUGGAGAAACAACGUGCUACAGAAAUAAAAAAUUGCGUAACUAUGAAGGUGUAGAGCCCCUGAAAUAUUUUGCUCACAUUUUGAAAUACCAUAUACAUAUACAUGGCUAUUUAAAUAGAACUACUACUGUUCACUGUUACUCGUUUCUACAACUUUUUUUUUUUUUUUUCAUUUAAAAAUCAGUGAUUGUUAUGGUUUAAACCCAGGGUUGGUCUAAAAUGACAUUGUUGGUCUCAUUACAGCCUCUAGUGGACAGUUAACAUAAGUUUCCUGAAAAGGCUCUUCCUAGUGUUGUGUUCCUUGACAAGUAUUAUCAAGGUGAAGGUUAAUACCUCAGACAGAACCGGGAAAUAUCGCUUUCCCCCACUUUGCAGAGAGCUGGCUUCUGAAAGGAGCAGCAGCUGUCGGCUCUGCACGGAAAAGAUGUAUGCUUUGUGCUGCAGGUAUUCUUAUUACUGGCCUGUGAAUAAACAGAGAGCUUCUGCUAUUCAUUUCAAUUUCAGACAGUUUUCAUAAAAACUCAUCUAAAAUAUUUUUAUAACAGAAAAUAUUGGUUGCCAUGUUUUUGGCUUAACUGAGAUGUUUUCAUUCCAACUCCUAAUCUGCAGACUGUCCAAUCCACCUACACUCUAUUUUUAGACAUCUUAUAUUUAGAGAAUUUUCAGUUAAAAAAAAGAGCUAAUAUUUUAAUUGUUGCACUGGCACAAGCAGUUAAUUUAAGUUAUUUUAUGAACCUUAAAUUAAAACACAUAAUUCAGAUUAGAGUUAGUCAAUUAAUUUAAAUAUUCCCUCAAGGAAACUAAAUAUGUAUAUUACUAAAGCAGUAAGAACAAUUAAUAAGAAAUGUGUCAUUUACUUUCUUAGCCAUUAAGAUUAAAGCCAUAAACUGCCAUUAAGAUCUGUAACUAUUUCUUCCUGCAAGGUCCAAACAACAUAAACAUAAUAAUACUCAUGAUACAAUUUCAUUACCUUUAGCAUGGAAAUCUUUUAUUUUCAGCUGGCAAAAAAGUAAAUGUACAAUCACAAAAAGCUGGUACUGAUUCUUUAAAAAAACACUCUCAUGCAAAUAGAAACCCAUUGGAAGAAGAGCAGAACUUUCACAAAGCCAGUAGACAAAUAUGUAGUACUGUGGUCUUAUUCAUAAACCUGAUACUAUAUUCGUACAAGCAGAAGUCAAACUUUGAAAUAAAGGAAACUGAGAAACAAGG